rnacentral:lncRNA from 1 species
UGAAGAACUAAAAAGGUACUGACUCGGAUGACCGUGGCUCCCGCAGGACAAUCGCUGUCCCCCAGUCUCCUAGCAAUAGCGAUACUGGGAGACCCUGCAGCCAAGCCUGGUGCCAUGAGCAGGGAUCCUCUUGUCCCUGCCUAGGGGCCACUUCCCCGCCCUCAGUUUUCCAUUUUGGCUUUUUAAUUUUACUUUUAAAAAUAAUUGUUAUUAAACUGAUGGGACUUUAAAAACGAAGAACUAUACUAGGACCGUAAGUAGAGAAUUGUAACUUUGGUAAUUAACAUACUUUUCCCCUGAUCUCUGUGAGUCACAUCACCUGAAACUGCUGAGUUGGACAUCAUCAGCAAUGUGCGGUCCUUUUUCUAAGUGAAGCCUCCUCCAAUUUCUCUAGGGAUUAAGGAGUAAUACAUUUUAAAAGUAUGACUGUCAACAAGCGAAUCAUACCCGUAAAAAUGCUAAUUUCAUUUGUUUGGUUGAUCUAUCAAUUGAGUAGAUUUGUAAAAUGAGUCUAUGGCGCGAUGGUAGAAAAUGCUGAAGGACAGUUAUACUCUUGUCUUCAGGGAGCAAAGCCUAGUGACAUGCGACCAGGGGAGAAAGUACACACGCAGAAGAGGGAGGACGUAGAACGAAGGACUUGGGGCUGCUGUCACCCCUUCUUUUCUCUGAAGGGGGAGUUCAAGUCAUACCCCUUCCCACCUCAGAGGAUGGAGAACCAAGAAAUCGACCCUUCCAGGACCCGGAGCUUUUCCAAGGCACUUCCUGCUAGGCCUAACUUCCACCAGGCAGCCUCGCCUAGUUCAGUGCCUGGCUAGUAAUCUCCAGCUGGCUUUGAGGCUUGGCCCAUCAUUUCCCAAUCCACAGCAAGGACCUGUGCUCAAGCCAGGAUAUCGUCCCAGGCUUGCUGGAGUUAGUAAUGUACCAACGUUUCAGCACAGCCUGGAGCUUUUAAAGACAUUGAAGCUGUUUUCCCUCUUGCUAUGGAGACACGGGAAUUGGUAUCCUAAAUCUUUGGGUUUGAAUUCCGUUCUCAUCACUAGCUCAGCAAGUCCAGACAAGUCACAUAACCGUUUCAAGCCUCUGUUUUGCUCCUGUUAAAUGGCAACAAUAAAAGCAACUCAUACAGUGAGAAGUUACCUCCAGCACACCAAGAGCUAGCUACGAUUCCAUUUCUUCUCUGUUUCCCCCCUGCCUCUUUCUUACAAAUAUGUUACUUUUGGCUCAUUUUCUUCACUGAAUGGGGACAAGGAAGAUAGUAAUAAAAAUGUACAUUUACAGUUGUUUAAAAAUAAAAUUAAUAAGCCGAAACAUGUU